GGUCGGGUUUUAUAAUGAAAGCGUUACUGCUACUUGCUCUUCUAUUUUUGCGCGAACACUUUCGCUUUUCGCUAUCUAGCUCGCAUGCUUUGACCGCUCGCGCGAUUAUCCCAGCGGAUCGGUGCACUCUUAAUUACCUGUUAUUUUUCAUAGACCAAAUCGAUCAAGGAAUUUAGUCAAUUUUCUCAUGGUACACAUUUUGAAUUCUAGAUUCUCGAUUGAUAACGAGGCUAACAAGCUUGAAAUCAGAUACGAGGAGAAUCUAAUUAUGUAGCUUAUUAGCUUGUUAUUGAUUCGCGUAUCUGAAUCAAAAGAUAUCGAUCGGCGGAUAUACCGUGCAUCUCGGUAAACUGUAAUAGAAGGUUCAGGUUCCACCACUUUUGAACGUCAACAGCUGUGCAAUCCGCGAACGAUUAAGUGGCUUAUAAAUUUAAUAUUGGUCAAUGCAAAUCGUGACGCUGCUGUCUAAUCGAUUAGACGGUAGUACAAAGUAUAAGUACCAGGAUGUAGCUGGAAUUUAAGUGAAUCAACUUUGUCGAGAUAACCAGAACAGACAUGAAAAAAGUUCUUGAAAUCGCACUUCGGGUUACAUCAUUAAUAACAUAAAUAUUAUUGAAUGUAGUUAAAAGUAAUUUGGUAUUUUGUACUAUAACAUUUUGACAGUCAAUGUUACUUAUAUCUGACCUUGAUACAUACGUCAAUUUUUAAUUUAUAUUUAAUUUAAGAAUUAAUCGUUUCAAAGCAUAUAUUUAAAAAGCUCUUAAUCUAAAAUGACAAGAUCCAAAGCGGUACUUUAAAUGCGUUGUAUCCUGUUGAUUGUUUGAAAAUUAUAUUAUAGAUUAGCAUUUAACCGUCGCCUUGAGAAUACUGAUCCCGUUGUUUUUGUAUCAACGUCCUUCAAUCGUUAUCUAGAAGAUAAUUAGUGUUUUGUUAACCGAGAAGGGGAGGACCGAGAAGCGUGAUGCUCCAAAAUGAGAAUUGCGCGACGAUGAGCCAAGAGAUGGAAAAAAACUUGCAAAACGUAGACAACGAAAGUAAACAGAACGUCGCAUCGACAAUUCUUUAUUUUCUCUUUUCUCGUAACCACUUGAAUAGAUUCGUCGUUUUGUCGCAUUAUCGCGUCAAAUGUGGGAUUGGCGAAUUAUCGCGAGCAGACUGUGAACUACGGACCAAGCGAAGCGGUGUUGGAUUGUGUCGAAAUCGAAAUGCAUUCUCAUCUCUUCAACAUUCAUGAAUUGAAGUCGCACCCUGAAACUGAAUCGAAUAAUAAUAUUGCAUCGGAUGCAAUUGAAAUGAGGACGAUCGAGAGAGUUAUAAUGCAGCAUCGAGAAGAGAUUGUAUGCAUGAAGAAUAUAAUGACGACGGAACCGAUCGACUCGCCUUGUCGAAUGCAUUCGAGGUGAAUUUGUUAGAGGAAAAAAAGAAAAAAUAAGACGACGUCGAAGCAAGAUUGCUCAGAGAAAGGAAACGUGCUUAGCUCGUUGUACUUUGAUCUAAGCUGGCCAGUAUGUACGCGCAAUUCAUACAACAUUAUUGUUUACUGAGAUUUCUCGAACAAUUUCUCAUACUUUUUUUGUUUGGGAUUUCCGAGUCGGUUGCCUUUAAUCAUGCAAAUGAUUAAUUUCAUGGAACAUAGGAUCACGGAUAACGGGGACAUAGGGUACGCGAAAAUCUCGAUGUUUCGGUAAACUUCGAACCUGUUUUGUUUUCUUCAAUGAGAGAUACUGAUACCUUUUGUUUCCUAUAACUUUAGCGGAAAGUUAAUAUCAUUUGUUUCAAGUAAACAAAUUUAUUUUGUUAAAGCAUACAAGUGUUUUGCUAUUUUAUACUGUUCUUCGAAGGAAAAUUAUAAUUGAACAAAUCAGGAUUCGAUUGUUACGAUUGAUUUUAAUAGCGUCUAGUUUCAAGGCAGCGUUCCAUUACAAGUUUAUCAGGUUCCAAUAUUUUUCUUCACCCUACGCAGCUAAUUAAUCAUUACGCAGUGCAUCGAUAAUUAUAAAUCAUUUUUUCAGUCUGACACAUUUCUUUGUUUCUUUCUUUCAUUUAAUUAUGAAACUAGUGUUAAUUUUCUAGAAUGAUGUUUGAUUGCUUAUAUCUAAUUUGUUAUUAAAGAUCCAAAGAUUCCUAUGAUUACAUCCAGUUUCGACAACUAACUAUUCUGUCAAUUAGUUUAAAAAUAAAUGGUAAUUAUUUGUUAUAUUACUUAUGGUGUGUAAACUUGAAUUAUACUUUAAUUGCAAAAUCAAAAACGGCUGAAACUACUCGACGACUUUCCGGUUGACAUAGUGACAUCAUUUAUUAAGUAACAAGACCGAAAAAUGAUUAGAAUAAUUAUUUGACAAAUUUAUAUUUUGAAAAGACUGAACUUCCGACAGUCGGUAAUCGACC